rnacentral:rRNA from 1 species
UGCCAGCCGCCGCGGUAAUACGGAGGGUGCAAGCGUUGUUCGGAAUUAUUGGGCGUAAAGCGCGUGUAGGCGGUUCGUUAAGUCUGAUGUGAAAGCCCGGGGCUCAACCCCGGAAGUGCAUUGGAAACUGGCGAACUUGAGUACGGGAGAGGAAAGUGGAAUUCCGAGUGUAGGGGUGAAAUCCGUAGAUAUUAGAAAGAACACCAAAUGCGAAGGCAACUUACUGGGUCACUACUGACACUGAGGAGCGAAAGCAUGGGUAGCGAAGAGGAUUAGAUA